rnacentral:misc_RNA from 1 species
UCCGGUUUGUCACCGGCAGUCUCAUUAGAGUGCCCAACUAAAUGUAGCAACUAAUGACAAGGGUUGCGCUCGUUGCGGGACUUAACCCAACAUCUCACGACACGAGCUGACGACAGCCAUGCAGCACCUGUGUUACGGUUCUCUUUCGAGCACUCUUCCAUCUCUGGAAGAUUCCGUACAAGUCAAGGGUAGGUAAGGUUUUUCGCGUUGCAUCGAAUUAAUCCACAUAAUCCACCGCUUGUGCGGGUCCCCGUCAAUUCCUUUGAGUUUUAAUCUUGCGACCGUACUCCCCAGGCGGUCAACUUCACGCGUUAGCUUCGUUACCAAGGGAAUCAAUCCCCCGACAACCAGUUGACAUAGUUUAGGGCGUGGACUAC